AGCAGCCGCGGUAAUUCCAGCUCCAAUAGCGUAUAUUAAAGUUGUUGCAGUUAAAAAGCUCGUAGUUGAAUUUCGGGAUUCUUCCGUUGGUCAGGCUAACAAGUCUGUACUAGCGUGUAGAAUCUCUACCUUCUGGGGAACCAUCAUGUUAUUUAUUUAGCGUGGUGGGAAACCAGGACCUUUACCUUGAAAAAUUAGAGUGUUCAAAGCAGGCUUACGUCUGAAUACAUUAGCAUGGAAUAAUAAAAUAGGACGGUGGUCCUGUUUUGUUGGUUUCUGAAUCACCGUAAUGAUUAAUAGGGAUAGUUGGGGGCAUUAGUAUUCAAUUGUCAGAGGUGAAAUUCUUGGAUUUAUUGAAGACUAACUUCUGCGAAAGCAUUUGCCAAGGAUGUUUUCAUUAAUCAAGAACGAAAGUCAGGGGAUCGAAGACGAUCAGAUACCGUCGUAGUCUUAACCAUAAACUAUGCCGACUAGGGAUCGGGCGAUGUUGUUCCAUGACUCGCUCGGCUACCUUAUGGGU
rnacentral:rRNA from 1 species